rnacentral:rRNA from 1 species
AACACAUGCAAGUCGGACGAGAAAUUCCGAUUCGUCGGGAGAGUAAAGUGGCGAACGGGUGAGUAACACGAGGGUAAUCUACCCUUAAAUUAGGGAUAACCUUGCGAAAGCGAAGCUAAUACCUGAUAAGACUACGAUCUUCUAGGAGAUAGUAGGAAAAGAUGGCCUCUGUUUCAUGCUAUUGUUUAAGGAUGAGCCCUUGUACUAUUAGCUUGUUGGUGAGGUAAUGGCUCACCAAGGCGACGAUGGUUAGCUGGUCUGAGAGGAUGAUCAGCCACACUGGAACUGAGACACGGUCCAGACUCCUACGGGAGGCAGCAGUGAGGAAUAUUGCGCAAUGGGGGAAACCCUGACGCAGUGACGCCGCGUGAGUGAUGAAGGCUUUCGAGUCGUAAAGCUCUGUUAGGUGGAAAGAAAUAUUUCAGUGCCAAUACCACUGGAAUUUGACGGUACCACCAGAGGAAGCACCGGCUAACUCCGUG